GAAGGAGACGCUGAUAUAAGCAAAAAGUUUAGUGAGUUAAUCUGAUCUUUUAGAGGCGCAUCAAUUGCAACGGUAAAGAUGUUAGAUAGAGUUACAGACAGUUAAAUUUCCCUCCCUCUCUCUCUCCCUCUCCUUCUCUCUCUAUAUCAUUUUUGUUUGUAAUUGGAAGCUGCAUCGCACUUUCACAUAUUUCGUUGUUUACCGUGCCCCGCUCCGCACAUUCAUGUACGAUACAUCAUAAUCACAACAAUCAUCAUUUAACAUUCUCAACCUCACUUUUCUUCUUCUUUCUCACGGAUCUCAUCCAACUUCACCAAAAAUGGGAAUCACAGAAGAGAGAGUAGUGGCAGUUAUCAUGGUCGGAGGCCCCACCAAAGGCACACGAUUCCGUCCAUUAUCAUUCAACAUUCCCAAACCACUCUUCCCAUUAGCUGGACAACCCAUGGUUCAUCACCCUAUCUCUGCUUGUCGAAAAAUUCCCAAUCUGGCUAGGAUUUAUCUCAUUGGUUUCUAUGAAGAACGCGAGUUCGCAUUAUACGUAUCGUCCAUCUCCAAUGAACUUAAAAUCCCGGUUAGAUACUUGAAAGAGGAUAAGCCUCAUGGCUCUGCUGGUGGCCUUUAUAACUUUAAAGAUCUCAUCAUGGAAGAAGAUCCGUCGCAUAUUUUCUUGCUCAAUUGUGAUGUUUGCUGCAGUUUUCCACUCCCACAAAUGCUAGAUGCUCACAAAAAACAUGGUGGCAUGGGAACAAUACUGGUUGUUAAGGUUUCUCCGGAGUCAGCUAGCGAAUUUGGGGAAUUAGUUGCUGAUCCGGUCACACAUGAACUCUUGCAUUACACGGAGAAACCUGAAACUUUUGUUAGUGACCUUAUAAACUGCGGUGUGUAUAUAUUUACACCAGAUAUCUUUACUGCCAUUGAGGGUGUUUCUUCUAAUUGGAAAGACAGAGCUAACUUAAGGCGUGUCUCCAGUUUUGAAGCAAUGGUGCCAGACACGAGGAAUCAUACAGCAAAUUAUGUCAGAUUGGAUCAAGAUAUCCUCUCACCUCUUGCAGGGAAGAAACAGUUGUAUAUACAUGAAACUUUGGACUUCUGGGAACAAAUCAAAACUCCUGGAAUGUCCAUAAGAUGUUCGGCCUUGUAUCUUUCACAAUUUCGUCACACGGCGCCCCAUCUAUUAGCAAAUGGAGAUGGUAUUAAGAAAGCCUACAUCAGUGGUGAUGUUUAUAUUCAUCCAUCAGCAAAAGUGAAUCCGUCUGCAAAGAUUGGUCCUGGUGUAUCAAUAUCGGCAAAUGCUCGUAUAGGAGCUGGUGCAAGGCUCAUAAAUUGUAUAGUCCUUGAUGAUGUCGAAAUCAAGGAAAAUGCUGUUGUUCUUCAUGCAAUUGUUGGAUGGAAAUCCACCAUUGGACGAUGGGCACGUGUCCAGGGUGGUGGAGAUUACAAUGCAAAACUCGGAGUUACUAUACUUGGCUGCUCGGACUGGAUCUUCUAGGAAGGAGGAGGAGGAGGGGGGGUGUACCUGCAAGGUACUCCAAUGCCAAAGUAAGUUGACGAGCAAAGGAGCGCAAGUACUAGUUAAGAGUGAGUAAGAAUUGAAUACCUGACCCUCUAGUUAAAGAGGGUAUAUAUAGCCCCCAGCGCUGGGCCAUGAUCUCGCUAUUGGGUUGGAUUCCCAAGCCCAACUAGGAGACUGCCAGGUUUCCUGAGCGGAAAUAUCGGAGGUGCGUGUACGCCCUCUGUCCUGGUUAACCGCUCCGAAGUCCAAGGGAGGACGCGGUCUUUUAGGAGCCACGUGGGAUCCGAGUUAUUCGGAGGAUUGGAUAUGAAGGAGCCCUGCGCGGAGCAGGGUCCUCGGCAAGGACGAUGUCCGGGGGAGAAUGAACGCCGAGCGCGGUGUUGGUGCCGAGCAAGGCGUGUCGGAAGGCCAUGAACUAUACAUGGGCCUCUGAGGCUUAUUGGGCCGAAAGCGGUGUUGGGCCUAGUCUUGGCCCAGUCCAGAACAGGAGCCCCCCAAGUCGGAGUUUUCUGGUUAAGAAACUGUGACUUUGCUUCUACGCUCGGACCCCCAUUUCUCGUGGUUGCUCGGUGGAUCGGUCCUCGUUACAUAUACGCGCUCGGAGGAAAAUCCAGUGGUGGGCGAAACGUCGCGCGUGGGAAGCACGCGCUGACGUGGCAUAGGCAUUGAUGGCCUAGGGUCUAGGGGGCGGCGCCUGUCAGGAGAGGUGACGCUUCGCCUUCCGAGCCUUUUUCCUAUAAAAGGGGGCGAAUCCUCUCCUAAGGGAGUUUUCCUUUCUCUAUUUAUCUGCUCGGCUUCGAUCAAGGGUUCCUCGGAGAAUAAUUUCCCAGCUCGUUCGUCAUAUCAAGAUCGUUGCUUAGCGAAGGAUUCUCCCCGGCCAUCUACAUCAUGUCUGCAAGUAAGUUCGUUUAGCCUGUCGUUGCUUUACUAUUUUUCAUAGAAUUUGUGUUUCGCUUUCGAGGUCUCCGCCAUCGUCAUCCUCCCCGGGUUAUCUAAGCGAUGCCCGGGGGUCGGCGUGGGUUAGCAGGCCGGAGUACGUUGGCGUUAAACUGCUUAAGAUAAGCUUUCCGGUUGUCGUGUCAUCUGUGAGUCCUCGGCUGACGAGCGUUGUUCCUCGAUGGGCUCUGCUGCUCCUGCUCUACCCUUUCGCUUGCCUUGCGGUGGAAGGGUGGAUUUGAUAGAAUAUCGAAUUCACUUCUCCCUUCUGCGUGCAGGUGAAUCAGAUUCGAGCGCUACCUCAAGAACCGGCUCGGACACCGACUCGACGACCAGUGAUUCCGACAGCUCGACGGCAACUAGUUCCGACGUCGAAAUUAUUGAGGAAGAUGGCACUCCCUCGGCCGAAGGCGCUCACACGGGAUCCCCUGGUUCGAAUGCCGAGGGAGGGGUUUCCCCUAUGCCGUUAUUCAGUUAUGAACAUACCGUUGCGCCCGAUUGGAUAGCCGAGGAGGCUCUGUCCGUUGUUUCUCGGUACACCGCGUCUCUGGAUGGGGCGUUUACAGAAAUUGAGGUCCUGGGGGAAGGAGAUCCGCCCAAUUAUCAAAUAGGUUGCCCGUCUCCGGACGAACGCAUAUGCUCUCGGUUUGCCGGGGACGGAUUUGCGAUGUACGAUUACGUGUUUAGGGAGCUUGGCUUCCGGUUACCUUUCUCUGAUUUUCAGGUUUCAGUCAUGGCGUUUCUAUCUCUGGCGCCGUCCCAAAUUCAUCCGAACGCCUUUGCUUUUAUGCGGGCAUUCGAGAUUGUUUGUGAUUAUUUGGGUAUAGGCGCAACGUCUGCGUUGUUCGGAAGGUGUUUUCGUGUUCAACGGCAGGCGUCAAACGGGCGGUACAGCUGGGUUUCGUUCAGGAACGCCGAGCGUAAACUCUUCGGAAUGUAUACUGAUUCCGUGAAGGGUUUUAAGGAUCGCUACUUCGUUGUCCGCCCCCUAAGUCCAACGGCCUAUUCUUCGGUGUCGGAUAUGGUGGUCGAGCGGGAUGCCGAGGGGGAGAUAGUAAGGGAUGAACAUGGGCAGGAAGUAAAGGAGUUCUGCACGACGUUUCCGUUUUUCUGGUGGAAGGGUCAUUUUGCGUCUCCUCCGAAGUACUACGCUUGGGAGGACGAUGAUUUGGAUGAUCAAGACCGGGAGUCAUACUCGGUCCUCUGCAAAUACGUAGAUAGUUUUACCCUGUCUCGUUGGGUGACGAGGAAUGGAGAUCCCAUACUGAACGAGGACGGGGUGCCGAUCACGGAGCAGCGGCCUAUUAAUACUAAGGCUUUGCUAGCUUGUCGGACUCCCGAGGAGACCUGGGCGUUGUUAGGUUGUGUCCAUUACCCUUGCUUUGUGAUCUCUGUCCGGUAUUUUGCUAACUCGUUUAUUUUUUCUUUGCAGAGGCUAUGCCGGAGAAGGAGGAUAAUAUCCUGAAACAGGCAUUGGAUGCGAGGAAGAAUCAGAAGAAGAAGAACCAGGGUACCGGAGCUGGAGAGAACUCAGGCUCGGCAGGCUCUCCUCACAAGAUUCAUGUCGACGAGAGGUUACCCAAGAGACCUCGUGCUUCCGAGGGGGGACGUCCAGACCAGUCGAACCUAGGUCCCGGGCGCGCCUUCGUGUUGCCUUCUUGCUACAAGGAUGGAGGCUAUUUUGAGAAGUUCCCCUUGGCUACCUCACCGGAUGAAGCUCGUCGGAUCAGUGAUAUGGAUCCCCCGUCCCUUCAGAAACAGUUGGCGUGCGACAGUGCCGCCGUGGUGAGGGUCUUGGAGAUGGCCCAAGUGUUGGCUAGUGGAGGUUCGGGCUCGACCGAGGCCCUGAAGGAGGCCGAGGCGGCUAAGAAGGUGGCCGAGGACAAGGUGAAGACCAUGGAGGUCGAGCGCAAGGAGUUGAGGAAGAAGGUCGACGCGGCCCUGAAGCAGAAAGAUGCGGAGGUCGCGGCUGAGAAGAAGAAGCUGGCUGACCUUCGACUCGAAUGGGCUCCCUCGGCUGACGAGUCGCCGGAUGUGGCAGCUCUGAAGUCUAGGGCUGAGUUUGCGGAGAAGAUAGAAAACCUGAAGAUAAGCCUGGCCGACAUGGCCGACGUCGGUUUCGAGCGUGCUCUUAACCAGCUGAGGCUUCUGAACCCUGGUUUGAAGGAGGAUAAUGUCGGGCUCUCUUCGAGGAUCGUAGAUGGCGUGUUGGUGCCUGAGUCCCCGGGGAGCGAAGAGUAGAAAGUGUAGUUCCGGGCCUGCGUGUCCGUUUUUCUCGGCCUGCGUGCCAUUCUUUUUGUUGGGCUAUGCCCGGAUAAUUUUUGGGGCCUGCGUGCCCGGUAAUGAUUGUAACCUUUGACAUCUCCGGCCAAGUUGGUCGGCAAUUUUAAUGUCUUUCAAUUCUGCUUGCUUAUAUCUGUUUAUUCUUACUUUCGGCGUUAUCACUGUAUGUUUGUUCUUUUUGAUAACAUUCCUGCCGUGCUUGUAUGACGAGGUAUUUCCUCUAUACUUAGAGUAUUUUGCGGUUGUUCUAGGUGACUGAUGACUUAUGCUCGGACAUGCCGGAGAGUCACCAGUAUACCUGUGAUAUUAUUGGUUUUGUGGCUAUGCUCGACCUAGAUUGAUUGCCCGGGCGUGUUGAGUACGGGCCGGGUGCGCAGAGCGGGUAUGCGCUUUUAGCGAGCGCGAGACCGCGGUUGCGGCCAAGCGUUCGCGGCGUGAACGAUCCCAUCGCGAGCUGGGGUUCUGCCAUGCAGGUACUUCCACGGGGGGUCUAGGUGUAGAAUCCGCCGAGGGGUCGGUCCAUCUAUCCGACGAGAGGAACCGAUCGUUGCUGUCGUGGAACACUCACGCCCGUACCGACGACGUGGAUCCGUGCCCGUCCGUUACCUGAGUUUGGGUUAGAGGCCGGGCGUUUUAGCUUAUGUUUAACUGUAAUAACGUCUGAGUUUUUCAGCAUUCCAGGGUCGAGCAAGUUUUUUACCGAGAAGAUUCUCGAGGUAGUAGGCGCCGUUCUCGGUUUUGUCAUAAACUCGGUACGGGCCUUCCCAGUUUGGGGCUAGCUUGCCUUCGCGCGAGUCUUUCAUGUUUCUGCGAAGUACUAGGGCGCCGAUUUCAAAUUCGCGCUUUAUAACUUUGGCGUUAUGGCGAAGAGCUAUUUGCUGUUUUAGUUUAGCUUCUCGGAGGGCUGACCCUGCUCGAAUCUCUUCUACCAUAUCGAGUUCUUCCCUCAUGGCCUCGUCGUUAAGUUCUUCCUCGAGGGGGAAUUCGGUGCGCCGAGAAGGCUCUCGGAUUUCUACGGGAAUUACGGCUUCGGUGCCGUAGGUUAGUCGGAAAGGAGUUUCGCCUGUGCUCGAAUGAGGCGUCGUCCUAUACGCCCAGAGUACACUAUGUAGUUCCUCGACCCAGGCUUUUUUGGCUUCGCCGAGUCUUCUCUUUAAUCCUCGGAGGAUGACUCGGUUGGCUGCCUCGGCCUGCCCGUUCGUCUGAGGGUGCUCGACUGAGGUGAAGUGUUGCUUCGUGCCAAGCUUGGCCACAAACUCCUGGAAUUUUUUGUCAGUGAACUGGGUGCCAUUGUCGGUGAUUAUGGCCUGAGGGACCCCGAACCGGGCAAGUAUGUUUCGUUUGUAGAAACGGAGCACGUUUUGAGAUGUGAUCUUGGCAAGCGCCUCGGCUUCUAUCCAUUUCGUGAAGUAAUCGACGGCGACCACGAGAUAUUUAUUUUGGUACGAGCCGACCGGGAACGGUCCGAGGAGGUCCAUUCCCCAGGUGGAAAAAGGCCAAGGGGAGGAGAGGGAUUUAAGCUCGUUGGGGGGAGCUAGGUGCAUGUCGGCGUGCCGCUGACAUCUGUCGCAUUUCUGGACAUGCUGCUUGGCGUCCUGCUGCAUAGUCGGCCAAUAAUAGCCGGCUCUGAGGGCUUUCCUCGCCAGAGAUCGGCCGCCGAGAUGCUGGCCGUUAAUCCCCUCGUGAAGCUCUUGCAGUACUUCCGUUGCCUGUGAGUCGUCGAUGCAUUUCAGAAGGGGAAUGGAGAAGCCGCGCCGAUAGAGUUUAUUUUCGAUGACUGUGUACGAGCAGGCUCUCCUUUUAAUGGCUGAAGCUUCCUUUGGAUCGUCGGGGAGCUCGUCGUUCAUGAGGUAAUUGUAUACCGGAGUCAUCCAGCAAUGGUCGUCUCCGAUGGCAAACACUUGUAUGGCCUGCGCGUUUUUGCCUACGCUCGGGUCGGACAAGAUUUCUUGUAUCACUGAUUUGUUCCCUCCCUUCUUUCUCGUGCUUGCGAGCUUGGAUAAGAGGUCGGCCCUCGAGUUGUGUUCCCGAGGGAUGUGAGCGACGUCUGCCUUUGCGAAUCCUUUCAUCUUUUCUUUGACGAGCGAUAGAUACUCGGCUAGUGUAUCGUUUUUGGCCUGGUAAUCGCCGCUAACUUGCGACGCGACCAGUUGUGAAUCGGUAUAAAUCACGACUUCCCGAGCGCCUACGUCUUUGGCAAGGCGUAGGCCUGCUAGGAGGGCUUCGUACUCGGCCUGGUUGUUCGAUGUGGCGAAGGAGAGGACUAAGGAUACUUCGAUGAGGAGCCCCUCGUCGUUCUCCAAGAUGAUACCGGCUCCGCUGCCCGCGUGGCUUGAGGCGCCAUCAACGUAGAUGGUCCACUUAUUCUCGGUGGGUGUUGGGGAGUUGGAGAUCGUCGUCAUCUCGGCCACGAAGUCGGCGAGUGCUUGGGCUUUUAGCGCUUUCCUGCCCUCGUACUGUAUGUCGAACUCGGACAGUUCGAGGGACCAUCUCAGCAUUCUUCCGGCCAUAUCUGGUCGGCUGAGAAGCUGUUUGAUCGGUUGGUCUGUCCGGACGAUGAUAGUGUGGGCGAGGAAGUAGUACCUCAGUCUUCUGGCGGCCGUUAUUAGGGCCAGCGCGAUUUUUUCUAUCUGUUGAUAGCGGACCUCGGGUCCUUGUAGGGCUUUGCUAGUGAAGUACACUGGCUUCUGCCCGUCUUCCGUUUCUCGGAUCAGGGCCGCGCUGGCCGCCUCGCCAGAAAUGGCCAAGUAGAGAUAGAGAACCUCGUUGCUGUCUGGUCGGGAUAGCACCGGGGGUUUGGAGAGCACUUGUUUGAGGUGGGAUAAUGCUUGUUCGCAUUCCUCGGACCAUUCGAAAGCUGCUUCCUUCCGAAGAAGCUUAAAGAAUGGAAGUGCAUGCUGGGCGGAUUUUGCGACGAAGCGGGAUAAUGCCGUGAGCAUUCCGUUUAGCACCUGGAUGGAUUUUUUGUUGGUGGGAGUAGGGAGGUCUGAGAAUGCUCGGCAUUUAUCAGGGUUGGCUUCUAUUCCUCGCUCUGUUAAGUAGAAGCCGAGGAAUUUGCCCGCCCGCACUCCGAAGGUGCACUUCUCUGGAUUGAAGCGCAUCUUGCAGGACCUGGCCUGCUCGAAAACCCGCUCGAGAUGUAGCGUGUGGUCGGAGUCUUCUCGAGAUUUGACGAUCAUGUCGUCCAUAUACACCUCGAGCGUGUCGCCGAUUUCUCCUCGGAAGACCUUGUUCAUCAUCCGCUGGUAAGUGGCUCCGGCGUUUUUGAGUCCGAAGGGCAUUACGUUGUAGUAAUAAUUGCCCGAUUCGGUCAUGAAAGCCGUGCAUUGUUUGUCGCAUUUCGCCAUGGGAAUCUGGUUGUAACCAGAAUAAGCGUCCAUGAAGGACAACAGUUUAUAGCCGGCCGAGUUGUCGACCAGUCUAUCAAUAUUAGGUAAAGGGUAGGCGUCCUUUGGACAUGCCCGGUUAACAUCAGUAUAAUCAACGCACAUUCUCCAUUUUCCAUUAGAUUUUUUAACGAGUACAACAUUUGAGAGCCAAGUUGAAUACUUGGCCUCGGAAAUAAAUUUUGCCUCUAGGAGGUCUUUUACAGCUUUCUCGGCAGCCUCCGCUUUCUCGGGAGACUGCCGACGCCUACGUUGUACUACGGCCUUGGCGGUUGGAUUGAUGGAGAGGUGGUGACAGGCGACCUCAGGGUCGAGUCCGGGCAUCUCUGCGGCGCUCCAGGCGAACAGGUCGGCAUUGGCUCGAAGGCAGGCUACGAGUUGCUUCUUCGGUAGGUCAGGGAUGCCUUUGCCGAUCUUCACUGCUCUGUCGGGGUUGUCUCCCAGGGGGAUCAGCUCGAAGUCUCCGUCGGGGACGGGCCGGACGGGAUGAGGGGCUUUUGAUAGUGUCUCUUCCCCGGAUUUCAGUUCUUCCUGUGUAAACCUUGCGUCAAGGUCGACUGAGCUGACGUUGGCCGUUGGAACCUGAUCUUCCCGAGGAUGCUUGUCUUCGGCUCUUGGUUUUUUGUUGGAGCUGGUCGGAGGAGCGAUCAGCUCUAGUCCUUUGACGGAGGCAUCGAAGAUCCUUCUCGCGGCUUCAAUGUCGGCGUUGAUGGUGGCCACUUUCCCUGUCCUCGUGUAAAACUUCAUCUUCAGAUGGACCGUGGAGGGUACGGCGGUUAGCUCGGCCAGUGUGGGGCGCCCGAUGAUGCAGUUGUACAAUGUCUUGCAGUCGAUUACCAAAAACCUGGUUUUGACUUGCCUGGACGCUUCCCCUUCUCCGAAGGUGACAAUCAGCUCGACGUAGCCCCAUGGUUUGGUGGUGGCUCCGUUAAAACCUUGGAGGUCGGAACCCACAUAGGGAGUGAGGUGCGAGUCGUCCAGCUGUAGUGUGUGGAAGAGGUGGGCGUACAUAAUGUCGACUGAACUGCCCUCAUCUACCAGGACCCGUCGCACAUCGAAGUUUGCCAUUCUGGCUCGGACGAGAAGGGGAAUGGUGGCGUUUGGAGCUCCGCCGGGCAGUUCUUCGAGGUAGAAAGUGAUUGGCUCUGACUUUCCUCGGAAUUUCCGGAGAGUUGGGCCGAGAUCUGCAUUGGCGCUGAGUAGCUCGUCGAACUUUCUCUUGACCGAACUGACCGUGAGAGAGCCGGGGUCCCCGCCGUUGGAGAUGACCAUAGCGGUGGGGAAAUGUUCCCAGGUGCUGAGGGCGGUCGUCACGCCGAGCGAAGGGAUGAAGUCUUCCGGUCGGCUUACGGACAGUGCGACUUGAAGUGGUCUGCUGUCUGGUGAGUUCCCCUCGUCCGAGUUUCGAGGGAUGCCUCUUCUGGGGGGUUCUCCCUUCUUGGUGUAUCUUGCCAGGUGGCCCUCUUUGAUCAGGGUCUCUAUGGCAUCUUUGAGAUUUAUGCACUCGUCGGUCAUAUGUCCGUGGCUUUUGUGGUACUUGCAGUACUUGGACUUGUCUGUCCCCGGUCUUGUAGGAUUUGACUUCGGGGGCCUGAUGUUGGAUUUCUUGAACUCGGCGUUCUGGCAGUCGGCCAGAAUUUUCUCCCGGGAGGUGUUCAAAGGAGUGUAGUCGUUGAAACGCCCUGCUGGUCCUCGCCGUUCUUUGACAUCUCGGGAUCGGUCGUCCCUUCUUUUGUCUUGUCCUCGGCGCGACCCCGGGUCUUCGAGGUUUGAGUUGCGAGAGGCACCGCUGCCCCUCGGGGCUCUGAUUGCGGCUGCCUCGCCUUCCUCAAAAUCGAUGAAUGCCUUUGCUUUGUUGAGGAGGUCAUUCAUCGAGUGCACCUUCUCAAUCUUAAUAGCUUUUUUGAAGUCACUGCCGGGGAGAAGUCCUCGCUCCAAGAUGUACCUCUUCAUGUAGUCUUCUGUCUGUACUUGGACGGCCUCCUUGUUGAAUCUUUCAAGGUAAUCUCGAAGAGGUUCGUUGGGUCCUUGUACUACGGCCUCGAGAUUGGCUUCCGAUUUCGGUUGCCGUCGGGAGGCUGUGAAGUGGCUCAAGAAGAGUUCUUUGAGCUCGGUCCAAGAAUGGAUGGAGUUCGAAGGGAGGUUCCUGUACCAAUUCAUCGCUCCCUUCCUGAGGGUGGUCGGGAAAAUGCGGCAUUUGAUCGAGCCUCGGACGACGUGAUAGUCCAUGACCGCUUCGAUGCUCCGGAUAUGGUCGUCGGGGUCAGUGGUUCCGUCGUAUUGGUCCAACACUGGCGGUUUUUCCAUUCCCCGAGGGAGGCGGGCUCUCCGGAUACUGGCGGACAAGGGGCUGCGGAAGUCCUCCUCGUCGCUCGGUCCUGGUGAAUUGUAGUGCCUGUUUCGUCGGGGAUCCUCUUGGUUGUUACCCGUCGCAGCUUUGGAGGGGCCCCGACGGCCCUGUUCGGGGGAGGGGCUUCUUUGUUCAGCGGUUUCAGGUUUCUGGUUCUUCCUGUUCUUUCUGUGUGGAGAACGGGAACGAGUCCUCCGGCGGCGGUGUCUUCUCGGGGGAGACCUUGAAGAGGACGGGGAACGCCGACGGUAUCUUCUCGGCGGCGAGCGUGAAGAGGAAUAGGAGCGUGACCUGUAGCGCCUCCGUGGAGAAGGGCGACGUCGCCGCUGUCUUUCCAGUUCGUGAAUUCGGUCAUCCUGAAUUCUGAGGAGGCUGUUCGUCAAUUGUAUUUCUUUGAGUAAGCGGACGGUGAUGGGGUCAGCAUCCUCGGGAAUGUUGAGCGGUUCCUCUUCUUCCCCAUGACGGGUUCUCCGCCUCUCGGAGGUGUGGGUGAAUGAGGAAGCAUGUUGCCCGUCUCGGGGGUCGGUCUCAUUCACAUUCUGGGCAUGUUCCGGCACGUUGGUCGUUCUGAUCUGCUCACCGUUCUGAACGUGCCCUUCUGGAGGAACAUGGUCGACAUUCUGGACCUGUUGUAGGACCUGCAACAGCUGGGUGUCCUGGGUUUCAUGCCCGGACCUUUGUCGCCGACGAUCCCCCCGACGAUGAUGAGCUAGCUCGCGGGAGGAUUCCUCGAUCAGCUCGUGGAGGAGGAAAGGGUCAGCGCUUGGGAUGUUGUUGUUGUCAGCCAUGACGAUUGGAGAUGAUUAGCUUUGAUCUUUGUUCUUUAAAGAUGGGGAAGCAAGUUUCCCACAGACGGCGCCACUGAUCGUACCUGAUCAGAAGAAUCGUCGUAGGCUGCUCGGACUGGAUCUUCUAGGAAGGAGGAGGAGGAGGGGGGGUGUACCUGCAAGGUACUCCAAUGCCAAAGUGAAUCUGUUGAUGUUGAGGAUGAGGUGGUGGUUAUUAAUAGCAUUGUCCUUCCAAACAAGACCUUAAAUGUUGGCGUGCAAGAUGAGAUUAUAUUAUAGAACACGUCCUCUACUCGACUGUUGGCUUUUUCAUUUUCCAUAUGAUUGCAUUUGCGUUGGGUUUAAUAUCUAGUUUAGAAUUCCAAAAACAUGUAUAUUGUUCAUUUUGUCAGUGUUUGUACCAAAAUAUGUAUUGUUGCAUUAACAUAUUUGUGCUGCUAUUUUAAUAC